AACGAACGCUGGCGGCAGGCUUAACACAUGCAAGUCGAACGCCCCGCAAGGGGAGUGGCAGACGGGUGAGUAACGCGUGGGAACGUGCCCUUCGCUUCGGACUAGCCCCGGGAAACUGGGAGUAAUACCGAAUACGCCGUAUUGGGAAAGAUUUAUCGGCGAAGGAUCGGCCCGCGUUAGAUUAGCUAGUUGGCGGUGUAAUGGACCACCAAGGCUACGAUCUAGAGCUGGUCUGAGAGGAUGAUCAGCCACACUGGGACUGAGACACGGCCCAGACUCCUACGGGAGGCAGCAGUGGGGAAUCUUGGACAAUGGGCGCAAGCCUGAUCCAGCCAUGCCGCGUGAGUGAAGAAGGCCUUAGGGUUGUAAAACUCUUUCGCCGGAGAAGAUAAUGACGGUAUCCGGAGAAGAAGCCCCGGCUAACUUCGUGCCAGCAGCCGCCGUAAAAC
rnacentral:rRNA from 1 species